UACGUAGGGGGCUAGCGUUGUCCGGAAUCAUUGGGCGUAAAGAGCGUGUAGGCGGUCCGGUAAGUCCGCUGUGAAAGUCGGGGGGCUCAACCCUCGAAUGCCGGUGGAUACUGUCGGGCUAGGAGUGCGGAAGAGGCGAGUGGAAUUCCUGGUGUAGCGGUGAAAUGCGCAGAUAUCAGGAGGAACACCUAUUGCGAAGGCAGCUCGCUGGGACGUAACUGACGCUGAGACGCGAAAGCGUGGGGAGCAAACAGG
rnacentral:rRNA from 1 species